GGCUUCCUGGGGGGCAGCCAGUACUGCGAGACGCCGGAGAGCUCGGUGCCGGUGGACGUGGCGCGGCAGCGGGAGCUGAAGUGGCUGGAGAUGUUUUCCCACUGGGACAAAUGGCUGACGAGGCGCUACCAGAAGGUGAAGCUGCGCUGCAGGAAGGGAAUCCCGUCGUCGCUCCGCGCCCGC